rnacentral:tRNA from 1 species
CAGAGCUUAAUAUAUUGUUGUCUUCUUUUACAUUGAAGAAUUUUUUUUGUGUGAUUCAGAAUGCUCUGA